UUAUUUUAAAUUGGAAUUUUCAAUGUGAACAACAUUUAUCUUUUUUUUAGGUGCAUAUAUGGGCCAUUUCGGAUCUAAUACUAAUGCAAAAUACGAUUUCCAUUUCUGAUCGCCGAGUUGAAGGAGGAAAUAAAAGGACAAGAAGCAGACAAGAAUGCCUAGAAAACAGAUCAGACCCAGAACGACAGCGAGGACCUGGCGGCGCAGAAUUUGGAAUAGAAUCGAUUUAGUUGCGUAUCAUUUUCUGACCGCCGAUUGCAAAAGAGAAAUUCAGCUUUAUGGAGACCAAGAUCUGCAUAUGGACGAUUGGAUUAUCUGGCGGGAUAUGAUUCGCAUCAUCGACUGAAAUAGAAAAGGAUAGUAACUACUUAAAUGUCCAAAACAUUGUGUAAAUGUGAAAAGUACAUAUAAAUCCGUUUAUAGAUCUAUUCCAGGAGACGCCAGAAGCGCAUUUACUUUAUGUAGCUGUAAAUUUCCCGGCAAACAUCUGGAUCAUUUCGCAUCUAAUACUAAUAAAAAAUGCUGUAAGUCAUUCCGUUUGAAACGCCAAUAAGGAACGGCGAUGGGCUAUCGUUAUUUGUGAGUUUUUAAAUGAAAAAAACACAUUUGCUCUGAAGGCAAUACUGGAAAACUUGCAAUGCCGCCUGUUGGAAAGGCCAAGAAAAAAAAUAUAAAGCCAAUCGUAAGGAGUGAAAAAGUUACGCAUGUGGAUCAGCUUUCGAUUUCUGAUCGCCUGAGUUAAAGGACACUGAUAAUGGAAAGACGGCAGAAGAAACCGGAACGACUUCAAUGAUCGGGCGGCGCAGAAAGCGGAAUUGCGGCCCGUCUUUCAGAAGCUCGAUUAUGUGGCCCAAUGAUGAUUUACAUGCAAUCAUUACUGAUUGCCGAAUUAAAUAGAUCUAGUUCGAGUUGAAGAUGGUCAUUCGAAUAAUGACAAAACAUCAAGGAGAAGUGGAUCCCUAACAACUCAUCCCUAACAAGUGGCAAGAAACAAACUCAUGAUUAAUGGUGAAGUACUGCUAAGUACUUUUUGUAAAAGACGGGCCCACGAGAGAUGAAGCCAUUAGAACAUGAAUGUAUUACUUGGAUAAUACCGUCAUAAUAUUUUAGGUUUCCACCUAAACUUCUUAACAAUUUAUCUUAAAUUUGGUGUAAGGACAUUCUAGGGACAAAGCCAACAAUCCUUUCGACUCAGCCAUUUGGGAGGGACUGGCUAAUAGGAAACUCUCGUGCCUGGACUACAAAAUCGGAAAACUAACUCAACUUAUCAUGGAAAGCUGAAAUAUUCAUAUUUUUUGUACAUCCAUCAAAUUUUUUAUCUUCAACCGGAAACGUCAGGGAACUCAACAAGCGCCGUUGGAAUAUUAUUUUUUUUAGCAUUGAUUACUAUAUAAGACUUUUCAUAUUCAAAACACAUUAAUAUUUAAAAUCAUUAAUUCAGAUUGUUCAAUCCAUUGUUCAUUUUUGAAAAGUUAGAAAAGUUUAUAUAUAAUUCAUGCUCAAUUCAA
rnacentral:sRNA from 1 species